rnacentral:rRNA from 1 species
UACAGAGGGUGCGAGCGUUAAUCGGAAUUACUGGGCGUAAAGCGCACGUAGGCGGAUUGUUAAGUGAGGGGUGAAAUCCCCAGGGCUCAACCCUGGAACUGCCUCUCAUACUGGCAAUCUCGAGUUCGAGAGAGGUGAGUGGAAUUGCGAGUGUAGAGGUGAAAUUCGUAGAUAUUCGCAGGAACACCAGUGGCGAAGGCGGCUCACUGGCUCGAUACUGACGCUGAGGUGCGAAAGCGUGGGGAGCAAACAGG